AAUGGAGGAAACUCUGACGCAGCCAUGCCGCGUGAGUGAAGAAGGCCUUAGGGUUGUAAAACUCUUUCAACGGUGAAGAUGAUGACGGUAACCGUAGAAGAAGCACCGGCUAACUUCGUGCCAGCAGCCGCGGUAAUACGAAGGGUGCUAGCGUUGUUCGGAAUUACUGGGCGUAAAGGGCGUGUAGGCGGAUAUGUAAGUUAGGGGUGAAAUCCCGGGGCUCAACCUCGGAACUGCCUCCAAAACUAUCAGUCUAGAGUUCGAGAGAGGUGAGUGGAAUUCCAAGUGUAGAGGUGAAAUUCGUAGAUAUUUGAUGGAACACCAGUGGCGAAGGCGACUAUCUGGCAUGGCAUUGACGCUGAGGCGCGAAAGCGUGGGGAGCAAACAGGAUU
rnacentral:rRNA from 1 species